AAAUGCAGCGAGGAGACGGUGGGCAGAGGGGGGCCAGUGCGGGGGUCGGGGAACACAGGCAGGGCUCGGCCCCAGCCCCACGGCUGGCCCCCGUGAAAUUUCAAAUUAGGCUAUAAAUACAUCAGACAGCAUCGGCAUGGAGCUGCUACCACCAAAGGUGGCCAGCUGGGAGGAGAUGGGGUUUGGGGGAUUACCUUGGGGUUCUCCAGGAUUCCAGCCUCGUAGCUGCGGAGGGGAAAGGAAAGACAGGGUCAGCUGGGGAGGGACAUGGCAUGUCCCCAUCCCCCAACACACACACCCCAUUGUGCCCAUGAGCCUGGUCUGCCUUUUACUCUCUGCCAGAGCAUCUGCUGCCAACCUGCCUGAAACAUUCUGGGCCCACCAUAGUCACCCGUGGAGCUGCAGGUUGUAAGAAAGAGCUGGGGCCUUUACCUGUCUUCUGGGGACUGCCCCGGGGCUCUGCACGUGGUUGGGGGGGCCUCUGCCUCUGCCUUAAACACUCUUCCCCUGUGCCACAUCUGGGCCUCUUCUCCAUCCUUGAAUGCCACCUCCUCUAAGAAGCCCUCCUUGAUACUCCUGAUGAGGCCGGGUCCCCAUGAUCUAUCUCCCCAACAACACUCAGCAGAACUGCAAUGAGGGCAGUGCAUGAGCCGGGCGCUUCGACCUCUGUCCUGCCUGAGGCCUCUCAGCUCCCCGAGGGCAGGGACCACUGGUGUGGGGGUCACCAGGACGUCCUGGGGCAGCGCGUGGCCGUCCUUUGGAAUGAGCCCGGGAGGACCAAGGAUGGGUGGAGGGUGGGAUUUACCUGAUGUGCAUGAGGUUCUCAUCCAUGCUCCACGGGUUCUUGGGAGUGACCGGGAUGGGAAUCCCGUGUUGCUGCAGGAAAGAGACAGCACAGGUGGAGGUAAGGCGGCUGGAAGGACGCGUGAGGUCCGUCCCAGGGGCCCUGCUUUUUCAGAGAGCCCCAAACUCUGGCCCCCAUUCAGACAAGACCCUGGCUACCUCCUAGUGUUGGUCACGGUCACCUCCCUGGGGGGACCCUAUUGCUGGACAUGCCCCAGAGAAACUGCAGGACCGUGUGUCUGCAAUGCUGACCUUGGAGGUUCCUUCCAGAAGACUUUGAGUCUACAUCUCAAGGACCCCUGAAGCACUGAGCAAGCACGCAGGUGCCAUGCCCAGCCAGGUCUCCCGGCACCAGCCAACCAGCCCCGCCACCACCCUACGAGCUGGGGCUUGUGUGAACCCGCUCGCACUGUGGACCGGGGCACCUGGCACCAGAGCCCAGGCAGUGCUUCCUGUGGACCCCAGGACAGGAGGACACCCACCUCUGCCCAGGAGGCCCAGGCUAAGAGGGCUGCAGGUCACGCAUGGAAGGCCCACCUGACUCAGCCUUAAGAGGAGGAAGAAGAUGAGGCUUGUCGCCCUGGGGACCCGCACCACCCUUGAUGACGCCCGACUGGAAUCCAGCUCGUGCACUCCAGCCUCCUCCUGCACUCGGACACCUGGCACUGCUCUCCUGGCCCCAAGCUUAUAGGGCACAGGGUGCACUGAAGGGGCCCCACCCAGCCCCUCAGAGCCAGCGAGACUGGAUGCUCUGCCUCUGAGCCCCUUCAGCCCCUCAGCCCCACUGGAUCCCUGUGGGAACCACAGGCAGCCCCCACCGGGUCACCCUCCCAUCUCUCUCCUGAUGGGAUCGACCCCACUCAGGCUCAUUCCCAAGAUGGUGAGAUUCUAGAGGCCUCCUGCAGGGAGCAGCUGUUUCCCCAUCACCACCUUAACAUUAAAAUGAGGCUAAAUGCU
rnacentral:lncRNA from 1 species